GGUGGAGCGAUUUGUCUGGUUUAUUCCGAUAACGAGCGAGACGCACCCCUACUUAAUACAUCGUGAAUAAUUUCGUUCACAGGUGUUCUUAGAGGAAUUGGCGGUAUCGAGCCGCACGAAAGUGCGCAAUAACAGGUCUGUGAUGCCCUUAGAUGUCCGGGGCUGCACGCGCGCUACACUGGCAAAAUCAACGUGCUUGUCCUUCCCCGAAAGGGGCGGGUAAACCAUUGAAAAUUUGCCGUGAUUGGGAUCGGAAAUUGCAAUUAUUUUCCGUGAACGAGGAAUUCCAAGUAAGUGCGAGUCAUCAGCUCGCGUUGAAUACGUCCCUGCCCUUUGUAC
rnacentral:rRNA from 1 species